AUGAAAUUAACCCGAACUUGUUCUAUAUUUUUACCCUGCCAUACUCCGCAUUUUGCUUUUCUUGUUUCUGAUGCCACGUAAACAUGAAGAGAAGAACUUUGUCAAUGUUUUGUGAUACAUUAGUAAAAUCGCUUAAAUCUGGAAAUGUGUUAAAGGGAUGUCAUCGUGUUGUGGCUCCAGGUAUUGUGGAAGGAGGGAAAAGAUCAUUUCACACUCAAGUGUCGUCAUGCAGUACGACAACUAUUCUAUCGCAGGAGGAACAACACAUCUCCAGGACAUGCCACCUUCCACAACUGGAUGUUCCUGACAAUCCAGACGAUCUUUUCAGAGGAAUGUCCACUGACUUCCCUUGCCUGACAAGAAAUAAGAUGGCAGGUCCUGAACCAGAAUAUGACAAAAUCAUAACUGGUUACAAACUCUUUCAUCACCAACAUCCUUUUGAGAUGAAGUACAACAAAGCUCGCCUGCCUGAGUUACAAGUGGCUUACGAAACAUGGGGGAAAUUGAAUGAAACCAAGAGCAAUGCUGUGAUGAUACAAGCAGGUUUAUCUGCUAGCUCCCAUGCCAAGAGUCAUAGGGAGAACUUACGGCCUGGCUGGUGGGAGAAGUUUGUAGGACCAGGAUGUGCCGUGGACACUGAUGAGUUUUUCGUCAUCUGUCCAAACAACCUAGGAAGCUGUUAUGGUACCACCAAUAUGCCACCACCUUUCCACUAACUAGUAUAGAUGACAUGGUACAAGCCAAUUUCCUCCUAUUAGAUGAACUUGGAAUUGACAAGCUCCAUGCCUGUGUUGGUUCCUCCCUGGGAGGCAUGCUGUCUUUGAUGGCAGCAGCUGAGUUCCCAGAACGAGUUGGAAGAAUCAUCUCCAUCUCCUCCUGCGCCCAGUCUCACCCCUCAUCCAUUGCCAUGAGGUACCUCCAGAGGAAAACCAUCAUGUCUGAUCCAAACUGGAACAAGGGCCAUUACUAUGAUGGACCCUAUCCUAAAAUGGGCAUGAAGCUGGCCAGAGAGAUAGCUACAAUGACAUACAGAAGUGGCCCCGAGUGGGACCAGCGGUUCAGCAGAGAGAGGAUUGACCCUGGCGGCCCCAACACCCUGUGUCCCACCUUUACCAUAGAGAGUUACCUGGAGUAUCAGGGAGAGAGCUUCAGCACCAAAUACGACCCCAACUCACUCCUGUACAUCUCUAAGGCGAUGGACCUGUUUGACAUGGGGGAGGGCUACAGCUCCCUCCAGGAGGGCCUGUCCCGGGUCAAGUGUCCGGUAAUGGUCAUUGGUGUACAGACAGACAUACUGUUCCCCAUCUGGCAACAGAGGACACUUGCUGAACUGCUACAAAAAUCAGGAAACCUUGGAGUGACAUUUUAUGAGCUGAAUUCUCUCUAUGGACACGACACAUUUCUUCUGGACAUCAACGGGGUGGGGGCAGCUGUCAAGGGAUAUUUGGAGAUUGGUCGCCAGUUUUACCAGCACCCAUAACAAGUUUAGGCCAACUUCUGAUGAUGGGGUGUCUUUUGGUUGAAUCUCCUUGACAAACGCAUUCCCUAUAUGCAAAAACCAACAGAUGUUUUUCUACUGCUCCCAUCCAUAAUCUAUAGCUUGGGGAUGUUGGCAUUUAUUAUAACAGGCUAUUAUGGUAUUUUGGCAAAAAUGACUUAAACAUUUUUGUACCAGUACAUGUUACAUGUACCAGUAUAUGUGUGAUUUUUUUUAUAAAGGUACUGAAUUAUUGAUGAAAAUUAUGUUUUACUAUUAUUACGACAUGAUUUGGGAUUUUAUUAUAUUUGAUUGACACUUUAUGAUAUUUGAUUGACACUUAAUUGUUACCAUUAUUUUAAAAUUUGUAUUAAUAUGGUUGUAUCAUGUAUAUUACAUUGAUGGAUUUGUACUUCAAGAACAUAGGGUGAAACAUAUUCUGAUAUCUAUAACCUGGUGAUGUUUUGAUCUUUCAGUUGAUUUUUUGCAAAGACAUAUGAUCACUUACUGUUUUGAAGUCCAUCAAAGAAAUUUGUGAUAAUUCAUUAAUUUGGAGUAAUUAAGUUCAUUUAAUUACAUGUAUAACAUAAUAUUUUGUUUGUAUGUUACUUUCAAUACACCAUUGAGGUUUUUUUGCAAUUCACAAUGGAAAUAUAAACCUGUUCUCAUUAUUCUUUGUAAUUUGAUUAAUUUACAUGUAAUUUGUUAAUUAAUAAAAUGAAAU
rnacentral:misc_RNA from 1 species